rnacentral:rRNA from 1 species
UACAGAGGUCCCAAGCGUUGUUCGGAUUCACUGGGCGUAAAGCGCGCGUAGGCGGACCUGCAAGUCGGGGGUGAAAGCCCGAGGCUCAACCUCGGAACUGCCUUCGAUACUGCGGGUCUCGAGUCCGGGAGAGGUGAGUGGAAUUCCUAGUGUAGAGGUGAAAUUCGUAGAUAUUAGGAAGAACACCAGUGGCGAAGGCGGCUCACUGGCCCGGUACUGACGCUGAGGCGCGAAAGCGUGGGGAGCAAACAGG